GACGAACGCUGGCGGCGUGCUUAACACAUGCAAGUCGAACGGAAAGGCCCUGCUUUUGUGGGGUGCUCGAGUGGCGAACGGGUGAGUAAAACGUGAGUAACCUGCCCUUGACUUUGGGAUAACUUCAGGAAACUGGGGCUAAUACCGGAUAGAAGAUCCUGCUGCAUGGUGGGGGUGGGAAAGUUUCGGCGGUUGGGGAUGGACUCGCGGCUUAUCGGCUUGUUGGUGGGGUAGUGGCUUACCAAGGCUUUGACGGGUAGCCGGCCUGAGAGGGUGACCGGCCACAUUGGGACUGGGAUACGGCCCAGACUGCUACUGGAGGCAGCGGUGGGGAAUAUUGCACAAUGGGCGGAAGCCUGAUGCAGCAACGCCGCGUGCGGGAUGACGGCCUUCGGGUUGUAACCCGCUUUCGCCUGUGACGAAGCGUGAGUGACGGUAAUGGGUAAAGAAGCACCGGCUAACUACGUG
rnacentral:rRNA from 1 species